UCCGGUAAUCGCCCCGGUAUCGGUUUUUGUAAAUCCGCAACUCGCUCCGAUACAGACUGUUGUUGAUCCAGUACCGAUUGUUGGGAUUCCGGAAGCGUCGAAUCGAAUUUUUACCAUAAAUCCGUCCCCUCAACAAAAGCUGAUAUAAUCAUAAAAAAGAAAAAAAUCAAAACAAAAAAUAUACAGAUAAAAUAAGAUUUAUUAAAUAAGAUAAAAUUACACUUGACUUCUUUUCUGUAAUAGAGUAGUUACAACCCAAGCCCUUUUUUUGAAUCCUUUCUAUCCUUCUUUCGUCUUCUAUAAACCCUCAUUCUUUCAUCUUCUAUAAAUACACAAAGAAGACAACUCACUCUUUUUCUUUCUCACAUGCACCCGUGUACUAGGUGCAUGUAACUAUUACUUUCUCUCUCCUGGUACGGCUUCACCCAAGAAAGCACUUUCUCUUAGGGCGUAUUUGGUUACUCGGCGAAGUGAAAAAAGUCACUUUUAUAAAAGUGACUUUUAUAGAAGUGUCUGUUCAAUUCGAUUGUUUGGUUGCUAUAAAGUAAAAAAUUAAAACUAUAAUUUUAUAUUUUUUUAUUAUUAAAUUAUAUAUAAAUAUGUAAAAAUAUAAACAAACGACUUGCAAUUUAAAUUAAAAAUUUAAAUUUAAAUUAAUAUUUAGAAUUCAAAGUUAUAUUUUAAAUUUUAAAUUUAAACUUAAAUAUGAGUUGAAUUUAUAAUUAAAAUUUAGGACAUAAAUUUAAUUUAUAAUUUGAAUUUAAAAUUUAAGUUAUAACUUAUAAGUGAAAUUAAAUUUUAAAAUAAAAUUUCAACACAAAAAUUAGAACAUUUAUUCAAAUUUGAAUUUAUAAUUUGAAUCAUAUAUUAAUUUAUUCUUUGAUCUUAAAUUCUGAAUUCAAA
rnacentral:lncRNA from 1 species